rnacentral:rRNA from 1 species
UACGUAGGGACCAAGCGUUGUUCGGAUUUACUGGGCGUAAAGGGCGCGUAGGCGGCGCGGUAAGUCACUUGUGAAAUCUCUGAGCUUAACUCAGAACGGCCAAGUGAUACUGCAGUGCUAGAGUGUGGAAGGGGCAAUCGGAAUUCCCGGUGUAGCGGUGAAAUGCGCAGAUAUCGGGAGGAACACCGGUGGCGAAGGCGGUUCUCUGGGCCUGACCUGACGCUGAGGAGCGAAAGCGUGGGGAGCGAACAGG